rnacentral:rRNA from 1 species
ACUCCUACGGGAGGCAGCAGUGGGGAAUAUUGCACAAUGGGCGCAAGCCUGAUGCAGCAACGCCGUGUGAGUGAAGAAGGUUUUCGGAUCGUAAAACUCUGUCCUAAGGGAAGAAAAAAAUGACGGUACCUUAGGAGGAAGCCCCGGCUAACUACGUGCCAGCAGCCGCGGUAAUACGUAGGGGGCAAGCGUUAUCCGGAAUCACUGGGGCGUAAAGGGGUGCGUAGGCGGCUUAGCAAGCCAGGGGUGAAAGGCAUUGGCUCAACCAAUGUAAGCCUUUGGAACUGUUAAGCUUGAGUGCAGGAGAGGUAAGUGGAAUUCCAUGUGUAGCGGUGGAAUGCGUAGAUAUAUGGAGGAACACCAAUGGCGAAGGCAGCUUACUGGACGAAGAUUGACGCUGAGGUGCGAAAGCGUGGGUAGCAAACAGGAUUAGAUACCCUGGUAGCUCGAUG